UGAGGGUGUGUGUGUGUGUGUGUGUGUGUGUGUGUGACAUUUGCCUGUGCAUAAUUCACCUCUGCUCACACACAAGAUAGCAGGGCUUAUAUAGAACAAAGCGCUGAAUGGAGCCAAAUCACAAAUCAGCUGCCACUGGCAUCAGGAAAGCAAGAGAAAAGCUGGGAGUUGCUGCACAGUGUGCAUUUGUGUCCCUGAGAACCAGUUUUCCCACAGAGAACUAGCCGUUUUCAACGGAGGAAAUGAUGGAGCAGACACGUGCGUGCGCAUCUUCAAGAAUCUCUUCUUGUUCUGCAAUGAAGAAAUGAUCCAGGUCGGGAAGCCACUAAGCAGUAUUCCUCUGUGUCUGCUUCAGGUCCUGCCUUCCCUCCAUGAUGGACUGUAAGCUGUGCACUGGAUUAAAGCCCUUCCUCCCCAUGUUGCUUUUGGUCAUCGCAUUUCUCAUGGCAACAGAAACCUAAGUAGAACAUAAUGCCCUAUCUGGGAAAGUAGACAUUUGUUCAUGGCUGAG
rnacentral:lncRNA from 1 species